GAGUUUGAUCCUGGCUCAGGAUGAACGCUGGCGGCGUGCUUAACACAUGCAAGUCGAACGGACUCAUAUUGAAACCUAGUGAUUUAUGAGUUAGUGGCGGACGGGUGAGUAACGCGUGGAUAACCUGCCGUAUACCGGGGGAUAACACUUAGAAAUAGGUGCUAAUACCGCAUAAGCGCACGGCUCCGCAUGGGGCAGUGUGAAAAACUCCGGUGGUAUACGAUGGAUCCGCGUCUGAUUAGCUAGUUGGCGGGGUAACGGCCCACCAAGGCAGCGAUCAGUAGCCGGCCUGAGAGGGUGGACGGCCACAUUGGGACUGAGACACGGCCCAAACUCCUACGGGAGGCAGCAGUGGGGAAUAUUGCACAAUGGGGGAAACCCUGAUGCAGCGACGCCGCGUGAGUGAAGAAGUAUCUCGGUACGUAAAGCUCUAUCAGCAGGGAAGAAAACGACGGUACCUGACUAAGAAGCCCCGGCUAACUACGUGCCAGCAGCCGCGGUAAUACGUAGGGGGCAAGCGUUAUCCGGAUUUACUGGGUGUAAAGGGAGCGUAGACGGCAGCACAAGUCUGGAGUGAAAUCCCGGGGCUUAACCCCGGAACUGCUUUGGAAACUGUGCGGCUGGAGUGCAGGAGGGGUAAGCGGAAUUCCUAGUGUAGCGGUGAAAUG
rnacentral:rRNA from 1 species